rnacentral:rRNA from 1 species
GAUGAACGCUGGCGGCGUGCCUAAUACAUGCAAGUCGAGCGAACAGACGAGGAGCUUGCUCCUCUGACGUUAGCGGCGGACGGGUGAGUAACACGUGGAUAACCUACCUAUAAGACUGGGAUAACUUCGGGAAACCGGCGCUAAUACCGGAUAAUAUAUUGAACCGCAUGGUUCAAUAGUGAAAGACGGUUUUGCUGUCACUUAUAGAUGGAUCCGCGCCGCAUUAGCUAGUUGGUAAGGUAACGGCUUACCAAGGCAACGAUGCGUAGCCGACCUGAGAGGGUGAUCGGCCACCCUGGAACUGAGACACGGUCCAGACUCCUACGGGAGGCAGCAGUAGGGAAUCUUCCGCAAUGGGCGAAAGCUUGACGGAGCAACGCCGCGUGAGUGAUGAAGGUCUUCGGAUCGUAAAACUCUGUUAUUAGGGAAGAACAAAUGUGUAAGUAACUAUGCACUUCUUGACGGUACCUAAUCAGAAAGCCACGGCUAACUACGUG